rnacentral:rRNA from 1 species
GAUGAACGCUGGCGGCGUACCUAACGCAUGCAAGUCGAACGGACAUUCAGGGAGCAAUCUGCGGAUGUUAGUGGCAAACGGGUGAGUAACACGUAGGCAAUCUACCUUGGAGAGGGGAUAACGAGCCGAAAGGUUCGCUAAUACCGCAUACGGUCGGUCACGAACGCAAGUUCGUGCGACGAAAGGGGCAUCUUCGGAUGCGUCACCCUAAGAGGAGCCUGCGAUCGANCAGGUAGUUGGUGAGGUAACGGCUCACCAAGCCGCUGACCGAUAGCUGUUCUGAGAGGAAGACCAGCCACACUGGGACUGCGACACGGCCCAGACUCCUACGGGAGGCAGCAGUGGGGAAUCUUGCGCAAUGGGCGAAAGCCUGACG